GACGAGGCACUACGGUGCUGAAGCAACAAAUGCCCUGCUUCCAGGAAAAGCCUCUAAGCAUCAGGUAACAUCAAAUCGUACCCCAAACCGACACAGGUGGUCAGGUAGAGAAUACCAAGGCGCUUGAGAGAACUCGGGUGAAGGAACUAGGCAAAAUGGUGCCGUAACUUCGGGAGAAGGCACGCUGACAUGUAGGUGAAGUGAUUUACUCAUGGAGCUGAAGUCAGUCGAAGAUACCAGCUGGCUGCAACUGUUUAUUAAAAACACAGCACUGUGCAAACACGAAAGUGGACGUAUACGGUGUGACGCCUGCCCGGUGCCGGAAGGUUAAUUGAUGGGGUCAGCGCAAGCGAAGCUCCUGAUCGAAGCCCCGGUAAACGGCGGCCGUAACUAUAACGGUCCUAAGGUAGCGAAAUUCCUUGUCGGGUAAGUUCCGACCUGCACGAAUGGCGUAAUGAUGGCCAGGCUGUCUCCACCCGAGACUCAGUGAAAUUGAACUCGCUGUGAAGAUGCAGUGUACCCGCGGCAAGACGGAAAGACCCCGUGAACCUUUACUAUAGCUUGACACUGAACAUUGAGCCUUGAUGUGUAGGAUAGGUGGGAGGCUUUGAAGUGUGGACGCCAGUCUGCAUGGAGCCGACCUUGAAAUACCACCCUUUAAUGUUUGAUGUUCUAACGUGGACCCGUUAUCCGGGUUGCGGACAGUGUCUGGUGGGUAGUUUGACUGGGGCGGUCUCCUCCUAAAGAGUAACGGAGGAGCACGAAGGUUGGCUAAUCCUGGUCGGACAUCAGGAGGUUAGUGCAAUGGCAUAAGCCAGCUUGACUGCGAGCGUGACGGCGCGAGCAGGUGCGAAAGCAGGUCAUAGUGAUCCGGUGGUUCUGAAUGGAAGGGCCAUCGCUCAACGGAUAAAAGGUACUCCGGGGAUAACAGGCUGAUACCGCCCAAGAGUUCAUAUCGACGGCGGUGUUUGGCACCUCGAUGUCGGCUCAUCACAUCCUGGGGCUGAAGUAGGUCCCAAGGGUAUGGCUGUUCGCCAUUUAAAGUGGUACGCGAGCUGGGUUUAGAACGUCGUGAGACAGUUCGGUCCCUAUCUGCCGUGGGCGCUGGAGAACUGAGGGGGGCUGCUCCUAGUACGAGAGGACCGGAGUGGACGCAUCACUGGUGUUCGGGUUGUCAUGCCAAUGGCACUGCCCGGUAGCUAAAUGCGGAAGAGAUAAGUGCUGAAAGCAUCUAAGCACGAAACUUGCCCCGAGAUGAGUUCUCCCUGAGACUUAGAGUCUCCUGAAGGAACGUUGAAGACGACGACGUUGAUAGGCCGGGUGUGUAAGCGCAGCGAUGCGUUGAGCUAACCGGUACUAAUGAACCGUGAGGCUUAACCUUACAACGCCGAAG
rnacentral:rRNA from 1 species